GAUCCUCGAACGCUUAAUUCUUUUUUAAAGAAGCGGGGGAACCAAUUCCCGGGGUGAAUCCUUUUCAGGUGGACGGCCGGAGGGCCCGUUCAUGAGAGAGGGUAGGGUUAUCCUUUCAACCCGAACCCGUCAGCUAACUUCGUCAGCGUGGAAGGGAGGUUGU
rnacentral:sRNA from 2 species